CGCUAUGGCGCAGCUACACAUGCAGUCGAACGGUAGCACAGAGGAGCUUGCUCCUUGGGUGACGAGUGGCGGACGGGUGAGUAAUGUCUGGGAAACUGCCCGAUGGAGGGGGAUAACUACUGGAAACGGUAGCUAAUACCGCAUAACGUCGCAAGACCAAAGAGGGGGACCUUCGGGCCUCUUGCCAUCGGAUGUGCCCAGAUGGGAUUAGCUAGUAGGUGGGGUAACGGCUCACCUAGGCGACGAUCCCUAGCUGGUCUGAGAGGAUGACCAGCCACACUGGAACUGAGACACGGUCCAGACUCCUACGGGAGGCAGCAGUGGGGAAUAUUGCACAAUGGGCGCAAGCCUGAUGCAGCCAUGCCGCGUGUAUGAAGAAGGCCUUCGGGUUGUAAAGUACUUUCAGCGAGGAGGAAGGUGUUGUGGUUAAUAACCGCAGCAAUUGACGUUACUCGCAGAAGAAGCACCGGCUAACUCCGUGCAGCCAGCCGCUAA
rnacentral:rRNA from 1 species